UCUUCGGGAUCUGAGUAGAGCGGCGCACGGGUGAGUAACGCGUAUGUGAUCUACCCUUUGGAUUGGGAUAACAGUUGGAAACGGCUGCUAAUACCGGAUACACUCCAUAUUUAGCUUUAUGGGGAAAAGGUGGCCUCUGCAUGCAAGCUACCACCAAAGGAUGAACCUGCGUCUCAUUAGCUUGUUGGUGGGGUAAUGGCCUACCAAUGCGACGAUGAGCAGCUGGUCUGAGAGGAUGAUCAGCCACACUGGGACUGGAACACGGCCCAGACUCCUACGGGAGGCAGCAGUGGGGAAUAUUGCGCAAUGGGCGAAAGCCUGACGCAGCGACGCCGCGUGAGGGAAGAAGGCUCUCGGGUCGUAAACCUCUGUCAGAAGGGAAGAAACCCUUGAGGUCGAAUAGGCCUCUUGGCUGACGGUACCUUCAGAGGAAGCACCCGGCUAAUUCCGUGCCAGCAAGCCGCGGUAAUACGGAAGGUGCAAGCGUUAAUCGGAAUUACUGGGCGUAAAGCGCGCGUAGGCGGCGCGGCCAGUCAGAUGUGAAAGCCCUCGGCUCAACCGGGGAAUUGCCUUUGAUACUGCCGUGCUUGAGUACUGGAGAGGCAGGCGGAAUUCCAGGUGUAGGAGUGAACUCCGUAGAUAUCUGGAGGAACACCAGUGGCGAAGGCGGACUGCUGGACAGAUACUGA
rnacentral:rRNA from 1 species